rnacentral:rRNA from 1 species
UACAGAGACUGCAAGCGUUAUUCGGAUUCACUGGGCGUAAAGGGUGCGCAGGCGGCCGUGUGUGUGAGGCGUGAAAGCCCGGGGCUUAACUCCGGAAUUGCACCUCAAACUACAUGGCUAGAGCAUUGGAGAGGGUAGCAGAAUUCACGGUGUAGCAGUGAAAUGCGUAGAUAUCGUGAGGAAUACCAGAGGCGAAGGCGGCUACCUGGACAAUUGCUGACGCUCAGGCACGAAAGCGUGGGGAGCAAAAGGG